UUUUAAAAGGGCUGGUCUAGAAUCUGAAUAAAUUCAUUUGCUCCUCAUCAUCACCACUCUCACAAGAGAGUUCACAUCAUUUUUGGAGCCCAAUAAAGAUUCUGCUAGAUAAUCCACAAAGGACAUCAUGGUUUGUAUUGUGCUGUCCAGAGCCCUUCUCUUAGUCUCUCUGUUUCAGCUUUAUUCUCAAAGUGUGAGUCUGUGGACGCUGACACUCUGGCCAGAAUUACAAGAAUUUUUCACCAGAGUUAUGAAAUAGGGCAGUAAGCAGUAGCCAUCAAUGUCCCAGAGAAUCAGUGUGUACAGAGGACACCAAACACUGCUCAUUCAGAGUUUCUACUGAUGAAUCCUCCAAAUAAUUCACCCUUGACAAGAUUGUUGAAUAAGAGAAAGAAUGGUUGUGUGGUUUUCUACACUUUAAACUCUCCCUGUAUGAAUAACUGUCUCAGUGACCGUGGCAGGUACAACAUUAAAGGAGGGCUUAAUAAAUUAAAAGCAUACAAGGGAAUGAAAGCUUUUGCUUUCAAAAACAUCUG
ensembl:lncRNA